CAGCCUUUGUAAUUGUGAGGAACAAAUUGUUCUACAGAAAAUGAAGGAAACUCCAAAUGUUCAAGAGACUGGGGAUGAUAUAUGAAAGCUUUCACCAUUAGGAUAAAAAAGAGCAAGAAUAGCUCACAUACCAUGUGAACCACUUUUGGGAAUCAGAUGUGUACAUUCCAAAGUAAAAUGACUUCAGUGUAUAUAUACAAGGAUGAUAAAUGUCCUGCUGAGAACAGCGGCAAAA
rnacentral:lncRNA from 1 species